CCUCUUUCCCAUCACCAACGCCGCCGUUAGCCAAGAUGAGGACCGCCCUGGUGUGCGUGACUCUAAUCUUGCUCAUGCUAUCAUCAACAUCAGAUGCUAGACCCGGACAAUCUUGCUUUGGAAGAUAUGUUGGGACGCGUGAUCCAUGCAAUUCCACCAACUGUGACGAUUCAUGCCGCAGUGAGAACCAGGAGGAACCUCUUUGUCAGGGGAGGUGCUCCCUGCAGAUGGCCAAAUGCCGUCCAAUCGGGUGCCUCUGCAAGUUCUGCAUUUUCCCGUGAUGCACGUAGAUGUAAGAUAGAUAGAAGGGCACGUUUACAUUGAAUAACGGCGCAUCAAACUCUACUAGCUAGCUGGAAGGUUGCUAAGAACUUGAAUUUUGUAUUCCAACAAAAGUUACAUGAAAUUACCAAGUGAAUUUUUUUUUA